rnacentral:rRNA from 1 species
UCCAGACUCCUACGGGAGGCAGCAGUGAGGAAUAUUGGUCAAUGGGCGCGAGCCUGAACCAGCCAAGUCGCGUGAGGGAAGACGGUCCUAUGGAUUGUAAACCUCUUUUGUCGGGGAGCAAGGCCCGCCACGUGUGGCGGGAAGGAGAGUACCCGGAGAAAAAGCAUCGGCUAACUCCGUGCCAGCAGCCGCGGUAAUACGGAGGAUGCGAGCGUUAUCCGGAUUUAUUGGGUUUAAAGGGUGCGCAGGCGGCGAGUUAGGUCAGGGGUAAAAUUUGGGGGCUCAACCCCGACAAGCCGUUGAAACUGGCUUGCUAGAGUGGGCGAGAAGUAUGCGGAAUGCGUGGUGUAGCGGUGAAAUGCAUAGAUAUCACGCAGAACUCCGAUUGCGAAGGCAGCAUACCGGCGCCCAACUGACGCUCAGGCACGAAAGCGUGGGUAUCGAACAGGAUUAGAUACCCCUGUA